UAGCAUAUCAAUAAGCGGAGGAAAAGAACCAACAGGGAUACCUCAGUAACGGCGAGUGAAGCGGUAAAAGCUCAAAUUUGAAAUCUGGCUCUUUUAGAGUCCGAGUUGUAAUUUGUAGAAGAUGCUUCGGGUGUGGUUCCGGUCUAAGUUCCUUGGAACAGGACGUCAUAGAGGGUGAGAAUCCCGUAUGUGACUGGAUACCUAUGCUCAUGUGAAGCUCUUUCGACGAGUCGAGUUGUUUGGGAAUGCAGCUCAAAAUGGGUGGUAUAUUUCAUCUAAAGCUAAAUAUUGGCCAGAGACCGAUAGCGCACAAGUAGAGUGAUCGAAAGAUGAAAAGCACUUUGGAAAGAGAGUUAAACAGUACGUGAAAUUGUUGAAAGGGAAGCGCUUGCAAUCAGACUUGCACUUGGUGUUCAUCGGGGUUUCUACCCCGUGUACUUCAUCAAGUUCAGGCCAGCAUCAGUUUGGGUGGUUAGAUAAAGGCUUAGAGAAUGUGGCCCUCUUCGGGGGGUGUUAUAGCUCUAGGUGCAAUGUAGCCUACCUGGACUGAGGACCGCGCUUCGGCUAGGAUGCUGGCGUAAUGGUUGUAAGCGACCCGUCUUGAAACACGGACCAAGGAGUGUACCUAAUAUGCGAGUGUUUGGGUGUUAAACCCAUACGCGUAAUGAAAGUGAACGGAGGUGAGAGCCCUUAAGGGUGCAUCAUCGACCGAUCCUGAUGUCUUCGGAUGGAUUUGAGUAAGAGCAUAUUGGGUGCGACCCGAAAGAUGGUGAUCUAUACGUGAAUAGGGUGAAGCCAGAGGAAACUCUGGUGGAGGCUCGCAGCGGUUCUGACGUGCAAAUCGAUCGUCAAAUUUGCGUAUAGGGGCGAAAGACUAAUCGAACCAUCUAGUAGCUGGUUCUGCGAG
rnacentral:rRNA from 1 species